GCGGAAAUAGCUCAGUUGGUAGAGCACGACCUUGCCAAGGUCGGGGUCGCGAGUUCGAGUCUCGUUUUCCGCUC
rnacentral:tRNA from 1 species